UACGUAGGGGGCAAGCGUUGUCCGGAUUUAUUGGGCGUAAAGCGCGUGUAGGCGGCCAGGUAGGUCCGUUGUGAAAACUCGAGCUCAACCUCGAGACGCCGAUGGAAACCGUUUGGCUAGAGUCCGGAAGAGGAGAGUGGAAUUCCUGGUGUAGCGGUGAAAUGCGUAGAUAUCUGGAGGAAUACCGGUGGCGAAGGCGGCAUCCUGGACCGACAUUGACGCUGAGUGAGCGAAAGCCAGGGGAGCAAAGCGGG
rnacentral:rRNA from 1 species